ACGGGAGGCAGCAGUGGGGAAUAUUGCACAAUGGGGGAAACCCUGAUGCAGCGACGCCGCGUGAGUGAAGAAGUAUUUCGGUAUGUAAAGCUCUAUCAGCAGGGAAGAAAAUGACGGUACCUGACUAAGAAGCCCCGGCUAACUACGUGCCAGCAGCCGCGGUAAUACGUAGGGGGCAAGCGUUAUCCGGAUUUACUGGGUGUAAAGGGAGCGUAGACGGCAUGGCAAGUCUGAUGUGAAAGGUGGGGGCUCAACCCCCAAACUGCAUUGGAAACUGUCAAGCUCGAGUGCCGGAGAGGUAAGCGGAAUUCCUAGUGUAGCGGUGAAAUGCGUAGAUAUUAGGAGGAACACCAGUGGCGAAGGCGGCUUACUGGACUGUAAAUGACGCUGAGGCUCGAAAGCGUGGGGAGCAAACAGGAUUAGAUACCCUGGUA
rnacentral:rRNA from 1 species